rnacentral:rRNA from 1 species
GACAGAGGGUGCAAACGUUGCUCGGAAUUACUGGGCGUAAAGCGCGUGUAGGCGGUUUCGCAAGUCAGGUGUGAAAGCCCGGGGCUCAACCCCGGAAGUGCACUUGAUACUACGGAGCUUGAGUACUGAAGAGGAGAGCGGAAUUCCCGGUGUAGAGGUGAAAUUCGUAGAUAUCGGGAGGAACACCAGUGGCGAAGGCGGCUCUCUGGGCAGAUACUGACGCUGAGACGCGAAAGCAUGGGGAG